UACGUAGGGUGCAAGCGUUGUCCGGAAUUAUUGGGCGUAAAGAGCUCGUGGGCGGUCUGUCGCGUCUGCUGUGAAAACUCGGGGCUUAACCCCGGGCCUGCAGUGGGUACGGGCAGACUAGAGUGCGGUAGGGGAGACUGGAAUUCCUGGUGUAGCGGUGAAAUGCGCAGAUAUCAGGAGGAACACCGGUGGCGAAGGCGGGUCUCUGGGCCGAUAUCGACGCUGAGGAGCGAAAGCGUGGGGAGCGAACAGG
rnacentral:rRNA from 1 species